CAGACAAUGUGCUUAUGCAGUGAACCUUGCCAAUGCCUCUGAGGCAAGGUGACCUUGUGAUGGUUUCAAAUGUAUCCAAUCCACCAAUUCUUCCUCACUUGCUAUCAAGUUGCCAAAGCUCUGGCCCUCCCCCUAAGUCAUGGUGGGUACAGGAAGAGCCUCUGAGGCUGGGGAGAAAAGGCCACACAGCUCCUGCCAGUUCUCCUGGGAAGCGAGUUCUGGGAGCCUGUAGCCACCACACGGGAAGCAUGACAUCCUCAAGCUGCCAUGUAGGGACACCACAGAGGGAGACCCAGGAGUCCUAACUCAUCUAGCAUAUGGUGGUCUGGGUGUUCCCACCCCAGACACUGGGCAUGUGAGAACUCUCUGGGACAGCUGCAGCAUCAGCCACUAUCCGGCUGGCACCUCCAAGCAACAGAUGCCAGAUUGUGAGCAAAAUAAAUAACAGCAAUAAUUCCAAGCAACUGUUUCAGAUUGAAAAAGUAUCAUACAGGACGGUUCUACUGCCCCCAGAUCCUCUCUGCUUAAUCAAGAUGGUGUGGCACUGGUCUACAGACAGAAAUGUGACCAGCAGGAUGGACUUGAGAGCCCAGAGAUAAGCCCUGCAUAGACUGCCAAAUGAUUUUUUCUUUUUUGCCUUUAACCAAAUUGUAGACAUGAUUUUUGAGAGGGGUACCCAGACUACAAAAUGGAGAGUUUCUUCAGCAAAUGUUGAGAAAUCUGGAUAUUCACCUGCAAAAGAAUGCAGCUGGACUCUUAUCUUACCUGAUAUGCAAAAAUUAACUUGAAGUGGAUUAAAGACCUACAUGUAAGACCUAAAACUGUAGAGCUCCGAGAAGAAAACACAGGGGAAGAACUUCUGUAUCUAGGAAGAUCUCUUAGACAUGGCGCCCAAAGCACAGGCAAGAAAAGCAAAGGGGGACAAAUGAAACUACAUUAACACUUAAAAAUUUGUGCAGUCAAUAAAGAGAAAAGGCAACCUAUAAGAUAGGAGAAGAUACUUGUAAAUCAUGUAUCUUUUGAAGGGUUAAUAUCUGGAAUAUGUA